rnacentral:rRNA from 1 species
GGAAAGGCGCGCGAUACAGGGUGACAGCCCCGUACACAAAAAUGCACAUGCUGUGAGCUCGAUGAGUAGGGCGGGACACGUGGUAUCCUGUCUGAAUAUGGGGGGACCAUCCUCCAAGGCUAAAUACUCCUGACUGACCGAUAGUGAACCAGUACCGUGAGGGAAAGGCGAAAAGAACCCCGGCGAGGGGAGUGAAAAAGAACCUGAAACCGUGUACGUACAAGCAGUGGGAGCACGCUUAGGCGUGUGACUGCGUACCUUUUGUAUAAUGGGUCAGCGACUUAUAUUCUGUAGCAAGGUUAACCGAAUAGGGGAGCCGAAGGGAAACCGAGUCUUAACUGGGCGUUAAGUUGCAGGGUAUAGACCCGAAACCCGGUGAUCUAGCCAUGGGCAGGUUGAAGGUUGGGUAACACUAACUGGAGGACCGAACCGACUAAUGUUGAAAAAUUAGCGGAUGACUUGUGGCUGGGGGUGAAAGGCCAAUCAAACCGGGAGAUAGCUGGUUCUCCCCGAAAGCUAUUUAGGUAGCGCCUCGUGAAUUCAUCUCCGGGGGUAGAGCACUGUUUCGGCAAGGGGGUCAUCCCGACUUACCAACCCGAUGCAAACUGCGAAUACCGGAGAAUGUUAUCACGGGAGACACACGGCGGGUGCUAACGUCCGUCGUGAAGAGGGAAACAACCCAGACCGCCAGCUAAGGUCCCAAAGUCAUGGUUAAGUGGGAAACGAUGUGGGAAGGCCCAGACAGCCAGGAUGUUGGCUUAGAAGCAGCCAUCAUUUAAAGAAAGCGUAAUAGCUCACUGGUCGAGUCGGCCUGCGCGGAAGAUGUAACGGGGCUAAACCAUGCACCGAAGCUGCGGCAGCGACGCUGAUGCGUUGUUGGGUAGGGGAGCGUUCUGUAAGCCUGCGAAGGUGUGCUGUGAGGCAUGCUGGAGGUAUCAGAAGUGCGAAUGCUGACAUAAGUAACGAUAAAGCGGGUGAAAAGCCCGCUCGCCGGAAGACCAAGGGUUCCUGUCCAACGUUAAUCGGGGCAGGGUGAGUCGACCCCUAAGGCGAGGCCGAAAGGCGUAGUCGAUGGGAAACAGGUUAAUAUU